UACGUAGGGUGCAAGCGUUAUCCGGAAUUAUUGGGCGUAAAGAGCUCGUAGGCGGUUUGUCGCGUCUGCUGUGAAAACUGGAGGCUCAACCUCCAGCCUGCAGUGGGUACGGGCAGACUAGAGUGCGGUAGGGGAGAUUGGAAUUCCUGGUGUAGCGGUGGAAUGCGCAGAUAUCAGGAGGAACACCGAUGGCGAAGGCAGAUCUCUGGGCCGUAACUGGACGCUGAGGAGCGAAAGCAUGGGGAGCAAACAGG
rnacentral:rRNA from 1 species